CCCUUAGAUGUUCUGGGCCGCACGCGUGCUACACUGAACAGUUCAACAAGUCUUAACCUUGGCCGAUAGGUCUGGGUAAUCUUUGAACGCUGUUCGUGAUUGGGAUAGACCUUUGCAAUUAUGGGUCUUCAACGAGGAAUUCCUAGUAAACGCAAGUCAUCAGCUUGCAUUGAUUACGUCCCUGCCCUUUGUACACACCGCCCGUCGCACCUACCGAUUGAAUGGUCCGGUGAAAUCUCGGGACGGCGGCUUGGUCGCUUGCGUCCGACUGCUGAAACUUGAUUAAACCAUAUCAUUUAGAGGAAGGUGAAGUCGUAACA
rnacentral:rRNA from 1 species